ensembl:lncRNA
GACCGCGCACUGCCUGUGCCUGGUGCGCCGUGACCUGCGCGCUGUGGCUGCCACCGUAGCCACCAUCACCGCCUGUCACCUGCUGCCUGACAUCCGUGGGGAGCUGUGAGAGUGGGAAUGUCUUUGGGGGGGGGGGGGGGCAGUGCUGGCAGCUGUGGGGAGCUCCUGGCGUUGUUGUUGCAGUGUCACUGACACUGACCUUCAGCACUGUGUCCAAUGGACUCGAGGGUUGUGGUUGUCACUGAUGACAUUCUCAUUGUCACUGCAUUACCAGUGCUGUGUCCCCUUGAGCUGAUGCUGCCAUCAACAGCACUGCCGCUGAUCGCUCAGUGUCCCAGCGAUGUCCCUGUGUCACCUGGCCUGUGGGGACCUUGGCCUCACAGUGACGUUGUCAGUGAAUGGAAGCUCCUGACGAUUGAUUGAUGCAGAAUUCUGUAGUUUUGCCCUGUAUAGGGGAUCUGUGGGUUCUGGCACUGACUAAAGCCCUUUGGAGACAUAGCUGCAGCAAGGACACAGCUUUCACUAGGUGGGUGGCAGUGUGUUCACCCACGGCACUGUGGUCCCAGUGGUCUGAGCAAGGUCCCUUUUGUUGCCCCCCAUGUCCUUGGGCUGUGGUUGUGUCCUGUGCGUCCCUUCCUGCCAUAUGAAUGUCUCCAGCAUCUGGCCACUGUCCCCAAGCUGUGGCUAUGUCCUGUCACCCUAAGUGCCCCUUGGCCUUGUCCUUAGCUCUCUCCUACCUCUGUGUACCCCUCUGAGAACUUCAGCCAGGGACAGGGAGAAGUACAUACGAAUCUCACACCACGGAGCCACAUGGGUCUGUCACGCUGCAUCCUGCCUGGGCUGUCACGUCCUGUGGGACACCAGGGGAUACACCCUGGGUGCUAGUGGGCUUGUGGCACCAAAAUGCCCGGGGCCUGAUGAGGGUCCUGGGGGCUCCUGGCGUCUCCAGAAGGGUCCCAACUGUCCCCAGGGACUGACCUGAGGGGUAGUGGAAAACCAGGAUGAAGGUUUUGUGAAGAGCACAGUGGUGUUGGAUUCUGUUCAUAAAGAUUCUAGACCUCAGUUCCCUUCCCGUAUCCAAAUUAGAAUGAAAGAUAGUAUUAACAAUUCAUCUUCUGAGGAAGAACCUCUGAGCACUUGUAACUGGCAGUGCUUUGAUAUUCUAGGUAACCUGUUCCAUAAGGAGUGCUGGGUGAUGCUGACUGAUACUGUCAAUUGUGAGCAUGCUCCACAGAAAGUUUCCCUCUGUGGGAGUGAGGAAACAAAAUGUGGUGAUUCAGUACUGUGGGGUUAUUAUGAGGUUACUAGAGUCUAGGAUUCUAGAGUCUGAGGAUUCUAUGAAUUGAUUAUUGGAGGAUUCUAUGAGGAUGCUAUGAGGAUACCAGCUCCUGUGAUUAUAAGUUCUGUUAUUUCAGAUUCUGUGAUCGUUUCAUGAUUCUAGAUUCCUUGACUCUGUGAUGAUUCUGGGCUUCAGUUGUGUGGUGAUUCUGAUUCCUCACUAAGAGUAUAGAUUCCCAGACUUGUAGCUACGCAAUACGAUGCGUUUCCAUCUCCACUCCUGUGCAUAGUGUGUGGCAUAGUUCUGAGUGCCUGACACAGCCCAAGCAAAAUCAAUUUCUGUAGGUUAUUACUAAAUAAAUAAAUAAAUCAAUAAAUUUCUUGCUUUAGUUUCUGCUCCCUGAUCCAUUUAUUUAUGUUCUCCCUUGCUUCAUAUGUAACUUCCAAACUUGGCAUUUUGCAGAUAAUACCUUUUCCCCCUUUCGUCCUUUGGUGGCCCCUAAUGGUCUCUUCUUUCUCAGUUAGAACAGUUGUCAUGAGCCUAUUCAUAUAGGAAUUUG